rnacentral:rRNA from 1 species
UACGCAGGGGGCAAGCGUUGUCCGGAAUCAUUGGGCGUAAAGAGCGCGUAGGCGGCCCUGUAAGUCCGCUGUGAAAGUCAAGGGCUCAACCCUUGGAUGCCGGUGGAUACUGCAGGGCUAGAGUCCGGAAGAGGCGAGUGGAAUUCCUGGUGUAGCGGUGAAAUGCGCAGAUAUCAGGAGGAACACCGAUGGCGAAGGCAGCUCGCUGGGACGGUACUGACGCUGAGGCGCGAAAGCGUGGGGAGCGAACAGG